rnacentral:rRNA from 1 species
UAAAGUGGCGAGCGGCUGAGUAACACGUGGGCAACCUGCCCUUUGCACUGGGAUAGCCUCGGGAAACCGAGGUUAAUACCGGAUACUCCAUAUUUGUCGCAUGGCGAAUAUGGGAAAGCUCCGGCGGCAAAGGAUGGGCCCGCGGCCUGUUAGCUAGUUGGUGGGGUAGUGGCCUACCAAGGCAAUGAUGGGUAGCCGGGUUGAGAGACCGACCGGCCAGAUUGGGACUGAGACACGGCCCAGACUCCUACGGGAGGCAGCAGCC